UACGUAGGGGCGAGCGUUGUCCGAAGUUACUGGGCGUAAAGCGCGCGUAGGCGGUUCCUUAAGUCUGGUGUGAAAGGUUCAGGGCUCAACCCGAAGAGUGCACUGGAUACUGGGGAACUUGAGUAUGGGAGAGGAGAGCGGAAUUCCUGGUGUAGCGGUGAAAUGCGUAGAUAUCAGGAGGACACCGAUGCGAAGGCAGCUGCUCUGGCCGUAACUGACGUGAGGUGACGAAAGCGUGGGGAGCAAACAGG
rnacentral:rRNA from 1 species